rnacentral:lncRNA from 10 species
UUCCACUUGCCUAGUAAACCACAUGUUCCAAUAUCUUUAUUAGCAAUACAGGUGAUAUUUGAUCCCCUCCCAAAACAGAAUACCAAGACUGUUCCAGUAUUUUCCUAGUGGAUUCUCAAGCUUAAGUGUACAUCAGAAUCAGCUGGAGAGCUUGUUAAAACUUGUAAAGCUCCCCAGGUGAUUCCAACGCCCAAGCCAAGUUAAGAACAGCUGAAAACCUUCCCCAACCAAGGGGCACAGUGAAUAGGUCAUAGAUAUGCCUAUUAUUCCUAUUAGGAAUUGGGACACACAAGCAGCCCCUGACUGACAGCAUCCUUUUAUCCAUGUGUGCCAUUCAAAUAUUGGGACUAUGUUAAAGGCAGCACCCCGACUGUAGGAAGCAGUUCAUUUGUUUGGAUGAGAUGAAGUUGUCCCUAUAUAACCUCUACCUCAGGCUAGUAGUUAGAGUGAAAUAUAUUUCAGUAGAUGUUUGACAGCAAGUCUGCUUAAAGUAGAUUAAAAACCAGUUAUCUCAAUGUUAAACCUCAUUAUCAGCAAAGAGCUGAGCUUCAUUAUCAAACUGAAGGGCAUAUAAUUAGAACCAUGAUAUUGAUGAUGCUCACCCUGAGUGAGGGGGAAAAAACCCGUACAAUUACAGCACUAGAUUAUAAAAACUUCCUCUUUAAUCAAGGCUUUUAACAUGAAC